UUACCGGGUGUUGGGAUGGAGGUUAAGGAGUGACUUCUUUCAUGGCUGGGCUUUUGCAAUUAGAGUGUGGUAUCCCCCUGUGAGUCUGCUCAGUCUAAUCAUGAGCCCUUCAAAGGAAAGAGCUAUCUCUGUCUGGAGGCAGCAGAUGUGAAACAGAAGCUGAGGUAAGAGUGCCUCAGUGUGAGAGAAAUUCAAGCCAUCGUGUCUGGCUUGGAAGACAAGGACAUGAAGGUGGCCUGUGGCAGCCAGCAAGGGUGUGGGAGCUGCAGUCCUGCAACAGCAAGAACCCCCUGCAUAAGCUGGAAGCAGAUUCUCUCCCAAAGCCCCCAGUACAGACUUGCUCAGCUGGCCUCCAAUUCCUGAGCUUAAGCAAUCCUCCUGCCUUGACCUCCCAGAGUCAAUACAACAAUCAACCUGGUGCCCAGCACACAGCCAGCACUCAAUAAUCUUUUCUCUCUAGGACAAGUGGAAAUAAUACCUUGGGCGCUUAUACUGUAGAAUUUCUGGAAGGAUUAAAGAAGAUGAUGGAUACAGAAAUACAUGGACCAACAAGUUUGAAAGUGCGAUAGAAUUGCUUGCUUUUUACAUCUUAUUGGCUGUUUUUUUUUUUU